GGGGGAGCAAGAGAGAAAGAGAGACGGACAGAGACGUGCGUGUGCGAGAGAGUCCGAUCGUACAAAUCAAUCGCCUUCUAACAAGCCGCAUUAACCUCAAGUGAUUUAUAUUUUCUUACGAAGCGCGAAAGAAGUAAUUAGUGUGUUUAUAUCGUAUAAAAGAAGAAGAAAACAAAAAAAAA